rnacentral:lncRNA from 1 species
UGAAUUAAAAAAAGCUGACAUCCAAGAGUCUUCCCAUUGUAGUUUGAUUGUCUAUUGAACCUAAGGCUCAACCUAACUAACAUGAACCAAUAUGAUCAUUAGUUAGAAUUAUUUAAUUAAUAUCUUGGGAGUUCAUGAUGCUUUUAACAUAAUCCUCUAUAACAAGUUAGAAGAAACUUUGAAACUAGAUUGUGUUUUUGAAAGGCACUGGAUGCAAUUUUUAUUGUACCACAAAAAGUUACAAUCCACCAAAGUUUUUUGUAUCUUUGCCCUUGAAAUGCUAUAACAGCACAGGUCCUUACUCAAAAAAGCUAGUCGAAAUAUAUUAUUUGGUUCUUUGGCCCCAUAUAAAUAUUCAAAAUUUACCAAAUGCAUAGCCGAUGAGAGAGUAAAUACAUGAUCGCAUAGAUCCUUACAUACUUCCCCCAUUUAAGCUAACAACCUUACCAAGCUAAAAGUCCAAAUCUAUUCACAAGUACGACAAAUCCAAUCACAAACACCACUAUCAACUCAUGGCCAACUCAAAUGGGCAGAAGUUGAACUGUUAAGAGGGCAGGAAUACUAUUGGCCGAUCUUGCGAAAGGACGUGGUCAGUUCAUCAAGUGGUGUGACCGAUGUCAACGCCAUUCAAAUACCCAACAAUGACCAGCGGUGCCACUGACGCCGAUCAA